AUACGUAGGGGACAAGCGUUGUCCGGAAUCACUGGGCGUAAAGGGCGCGUAGGCGGUUUUAUAAGUCAGAUGUGAAAGGUACCGGCUCAACCGGUGACGUGCAUUUGAAACUGUAAGACUUGAGUACUGGAGAGGCAAGUGGAAUUCCUAGUGUAGCGGUGAAAUGCGUAGAUAUUAGGAGGAACACCCGUGGCGAAGGCGGCUUGCUGGACAGAUACUGACGCUGAGGUGCGAAAGCGUGGGGAGCGAACAGGAUUAGAUACCCUGGUAGUCCACGCCGUAAACGAUGAUGACUAGCUGUUGGGGAAACUCAGUGCCGCAGUUAACACAUUAAGUCAUCCGCCUGGGGAGUACGACCGCAAGGUUGAA
rnacentral:rRNA from 1 species